rnacentral:rRNA from 1 species
UACGGAGGGUGCGAGCGUUGUCCGGAAUCACUGGGCGUAAAGGGCGCGUAGGCGGCCUGGCAAGUCGGUGGUGAAAGCCCGUGGCUCAACUACGGGUCGGCCACCGAUACUGCUAUGGCUCGAGUUUGGUAGAGGCAGAUGGAAUUCCGGGUGUAGCGGUGGAAUGCGUAGAGAUCCGGAAGAACACCGGUGGCGAAGGCGGUCUGCUGGGCCAAGACUGACGGCUGAGGCGCGACAGCGUGGGGGAGCAAACAGG